UACGGGAGGCAGCAGUGGGGAAUCUUGCACAAUGGAGGAAACUCUGAUGCAGCGACGCCGCGUGAGCGAUGAAGCCCUUCGGGGUGUAAAGCUCUUUCGGCAGGAACGAUAAUGACGGUACCUGCAGAAGAAGCUGCGGCUAACUACGUGCCAGCAGCCGCGGUAAUACGUAGGCAGCAAGCGUUGUUCGGAAUUACUGGGCGUAAAGAGUGUGUAGGUGGUGUCGUAAAGUUUUGGUGUGAAAUCUCCCGGCUUAACUGGGAGGGUGCGCCGAAGACUGCGAUGCUGGAGUAUGGGAGAGGAAAGCGGAAUUCCUGGUGUAGCGGUGAAAUGCGUAGAUAUCAGGAGGAACACCUGCGGUGUAGACGGCUUUUCUGGACCAUUACUGACACUGAGACACGAAAGCGUGGGUAGCAAACAGGGAUUAGAUACC
rnacentral:rRNA from 1 species